rnacentral:rRNA from 1 species
GGUUAAGUGACUAAGCGUACAUGGUGGAUGCCUUGGCAGUCAGAGGCGAUGAAGGACGUACUAACCUGCGAUAAGCCGUGAGCAGUCGGUAAGAGACAUUACGACUCACGGAUUUCCGAAUGGGGAAACCCACUUAGCAUAAGCUAGGUAUCGCUGCGUGAAUACAUAGCGUAGCGAGGCGAACCGGGAGAACUGAAACAUCUAAGUACCCCGAGGAAAAGAAAUCAACCGAGAUUCCCUCAGUAGCGGCGAGCGAACGGGGAUUAGCCCUUAAGCAUCUUGGAAGUUAGUGGAACGGUCCUGGAAAGGCCGGCGAUACAGGGUGAUAGCCCCGUACACGAAAACAACCUUGAUGUGAAAUCGAGUAGGGCGGGACACGUGACAUCCUGUCUGAAUAUGGGGGGACCAUCCUCCAAGGCUAAAUACUCCUGACUGACCGAUAGUGAACCAGUACCGUGAGGGAAAGGCGAAAAGAACCCCUGUGAGGGGAGUGAAAUAGAACCUGAAACCGUGUACGUACAAGCAGUGGGAGCCCUUCGGGGUGACUGCGUACCUUUUGUAUAAUGGGUCAGCGACUUACAUUUUGUAGCGAGGUUAACCGUAUAGGGGAGCCGUAGGGAAACCGAGUCUUAACUGGGCGUCUAGUUGCAAGGUGUAGACCCGAAACCGGGUGAUCUAGCCAUGGGCAGGUUGAAGGUUGAGUAACAUCAACUGGAGGACCGAACCCACUAACGUUGCAAAGUUAGGGGAUGACCUGUGGCUGGGGGUGAAAGGCCAAUCAAACUCGGAGAUAGCUGGUUCUCCCCGAAAGCUAUUUAGGUAGCGCCUCGGACGAAUACUACUGGGGGUAGAGCACUGUUUGGGCUAGGGGGUCAUCCCGACUUACCAACCCCAUGCAAACUCCGAAUACCAGUAAGUAAUAUCCGGGAGACACACGGCGGGUGCUAACGUCCGUCGUGAAGAGGGAAACAACCCAGACCGCCGGCUAAGGUCCCAAAGUUCUGGUUAAGUGGGAAACGAUGUGGGAAGGCUCAGACAGCUAGGAUGUUGGCUUAGAAGCAGCCAUCAUUUAAAGAAAGCGUAAUAGCUCACUAGUCGAGUCGGCCUGCGCGGAAGAUGUAACGGGGCUCAAACCAGGCACCGAAGCCGCGGAUUCACGCUAAGCGUGAGUGGUAGGGGAGCGUUCUGUAAGUCUGCGAAGGUGUAUCGAGAGGUAUGCUGGAGAUAUCAGAAGUGCGAAUGCUGACGUAAGUAACGAUAAAGGGGGUGAAAAGCCUCCUCGCCGGAAGACCAAGGGUUCCUGUCCAACGUUAAUCGGGGCAGGGUGAGUCGACCCCUAAGGCGAGGCCGAAAGGCGUAGUCGAUGGGAAGCAGGUUAAUAUUCCUGCACGACUUGUAAUUGCGAUGGGGGGACGGAGAAGGCUAGGUGGGCCAGGCGACGGUUGUCCUGGUGAAAGUGCGUAGGUGGUGUUUCUAGGCAAAUCCGGAGACACAACACUGAGACACGAGACGAACACACUACGGUGUGGAAGCCAUUGAUGCCCUGCUUCCAGGAAAAGCCUCUAAGCUUCAGAUUACAAGUCAUCGUACCCCAAACCGACACAGGUGGUCGGGUAGAGAAUACCAAGGCGCUUGAGAGAACUCGGGUGAAGGAACUAGGCAAAAUAGUACCGUAACUUCGGGAGAAGGUACGCUCUUGUUGGUGAAGUCCCUUGCGGAUGGAGCUGACGGGAGUCGCAGUGACCAGAUGGCUGGGACUGUUUAUCAAAAACACAGCACUCUGCAAACACGAAAGUGGACGUAUAGGGUGUGACACCUGCCCGGUGCCGGAAGGUUAAUUGAUGGGGUUAGCGCAAGCGAAGCUCUUGAUCGAAGCCCCGGUAAACGGCGGCCGUAACUAUAACGGUCCUAAGGUAGCGAAAUUCCUUGUCGGGUAAGUUCCGACCUGCACGAAUGGUGUAACCAUGGCCAUGCUGUCUCCACCCGAGACUCAGUGAAAUCGAAUUCGCCGUGAAGAUGCGGUGUACCCGCGGCUAGACGGAAAGACCCCGUGAACCUUUACUACAGCUUGGCACUGAACAUUGAACCUACAUGUGUAGGAUAGGUGGGAGGCUUUGAAGGCGUGACGCCAGUUGCGCUGGAGCCGUCCUUGAAAUACCACCCUUGUAUGUUUGAUGUUCUAACGCAGGGCCCUGAAUCGGGCUCGCGGACAGUGCCUGGUGGGUAGUUUGACUGGGGCGGUCUCCUCCCAAAGAGUAACGGAGGAGCACGAAGGUUGGCUAAUCCUGGUCGGACAUCAGGAGGUUAGUGCAAUGGCAUAAGCCAGCUUAACUGCGAGACGGACAGGUCGAGCAGGUACGAAAGUAGGUCAUAGUGAUCCGGUGGUUCUGAAUGGAAGGGCCAUCGCUCAACGGAUAAAAGGUACUCCGGGGAUAACAGGCUGAUACCGCCCAAGAGUUCAUAUCGACGGCGGUGUUUGGCACCUCGAUGUCGGCUCAUCACAUCCUGGGGCUGAAGUCGGUCCCAAGGGUAUGGCUGUUCGCCAUUUAAAGUGGUACGCGAGCUGGGUUCAGAACGUCGUGAGACAGUUCGGUCCCUAUCUGCCGUGGGCGUUGGAUGAUUGAAGGGAGUUGCUCCUAGUACGAGAGGACCGGAGUGAACGAACCUCUGGUGUUCGGGUUGUCACGCCAGUGGCACUGCCCGGUAGCUAAGUUCGGAAUCGAUAACCGCUGAAAGCAUCUAAGCGGGAAGCGAGCCCUGAGAUGAGUCAUCCCUGACCCCUUGAGGGUCCUAAAGGGCCGUUGGAGACCACAACGUUGAUAGGUGGGGUGUGUAAGCGCGGCGACGUGUUGAGCUAACCCAUACUAAUUACCCGUGAGGCUUAACCAU